AUCCAGUUGACGAGUCCCAAAUAAGACGAAACGCCAAUUCUGGAU
rnacentral:hammerhead_ribozyme from 1 species